rnacentral:rRNA from 1 species
CCUACGGGAGGCAGCAGUGGGGAAUAUUGCACAAUGGGGGGAACCCUGAUGCAGCGACGCCGCGUGGGUGAGGAAGUACCUCGGUAUGUAAAGCCCUAUCAGCAGGGAAGAAACUGACGGUACCUGACUAAGAAGCCCCGGCGAACUACGUACCAGCAGCCGCGGUUAUACGUAGGGGGCCAGCGUUAUCAUGAUUUACUGGGUGGAAAGGGAGCGUAGGCGGGGUGUCAAGGCUGGUGUGAAAGGUCGGGGCUCAACCCCGGGACUGCAUUUGAAACUGGCAUGCUGGAGUGCCGGAGGGGCAAGCGGAAUUCGUGGUGUAGCGGUGAAAUGCGUAGAUAUUAGGAAGAACACCGAUUGCGAAGGCAG